rnacentral:rRNA from 1 species
UACGAAGGGGGCUAGCGUUGCUCGGAAUUACUGGGCGUAAAGGGAGCGUAGGCGGACCUUUAAGUCAGAGGUGAAAUCCCGGAGCUUAACUUCGGAACUGCCUUUGAUACUGGGUGUCUUGAGUGUGAGAGAGGUAUGUGGAACUCCGAGUGUAGAGGUGAAAUUCGUAGAUAUUCGGAAGAACACCAGUGGCGAAGGCGACAUACUGGCUCCUUACUGACGCUGAGGCUCGAAAGCGUGGGGAGCAAACAGG